UACGGAGGGUGCAAGCGUUAUCCGGAUCACUGGGUUUAAAGGGUGCGUAGGCGGGCAGGUAAGUCCGUGGUGAAAUCUCUGAGCUUAACUCAGAAACUGCCAUGGAUACUAUUUGUCUUGAAUGUUGUGGAGGUGAGCGGAAUAUGUCAUGUAGCGGUGAAAUGCUUAGAUAUGACAUAGAACACCAAUUGCGAAGGCAGCUCACUACACAAAUAUUGACGCUGAGGCACGAAAGCGUGGGGAUCAAACAGG
rnacentral:rRNA from 1 species